AAAUAAGAAGCAAAUAAUGCAGUUAGUUUCGACCUAUCCUUUGAUGUUAAUUCAUCCUUAUUUU